UGCAAGUUUGCCGCAAGUUUGCAACAAACAAUUGCCGCAAGCUUGCAACAAACAAUUGCCGCAAGCUUGCGGCAAAUCUAAUUUGCAUAAUUAUGUUUGCCGCAAGCUUGCCGCAAACUUCAUUUGCAUGGUAAAAUGGUUGCGGCAAGUUUGCCGCAAACGUUUGCUGCAAGCUUGCGGCAAUGUUUGCUGCAAACUUGCGGCAAAUGUUUGCC
rnacentral:sRNA from 1 species